GGGUUUGUAAGUCAGUGGUGAAAGUCUGCAGCUUAACUGUAGAACUGCCAUUGAUACUGCAUACCUUGAGUAAUUAUGAAGUGGUUAGAAUAUGUAGUGUAGCGGUGAAAUGCAUAGAUAUUACAUAGAAUACCGAUUGCGAAGGCAGAUCACUAAUAAUUUACUGACGCUGAUGGACGAAAGCGUAGGUAGCGAACAGGAUUAGAUACCCUGGUAGUCUACGUCGUAAACGAUGGUUACUAGCUGUUUGGCUCGAUUAAGAGCUGAGUGGCUAAGCGAAAGUGAUAAGUAACCCACCUGGGGAGUACGUUCGCAAGAAUGAAACUCAAAGGAAUUGACGGGGGCCCGCACAAGUGGUGGAGCAUGUGGUUUAAUUCGAUGAUACGCGAGGAACCUUACCAGGGCUUAAAUGUAGUCUGACAGGUCUGGAAACAGACCCUUCUUCGGACAGAUUACAAGGUGCUGCAUGGUUGUCGUCAGCUCGUGCCGUGAGGUGUCAGGUUAAGUCCUAUAACGAGCGCAACCCCUGUGGUUAGUUGCCAGCGAGUAAUGUCGGGAACUCUAGCCAGACUGCCGGUGCAAACCGUGAGGAAGGUGGGGAUGACGUCAAAUCAUCACGGCCCUUACGUCCUGGGCCACACACGUGCUACAAUGGUAGGGACAGAGAGCAGCCACUGGGUGACCAGGAGCGAAUCUAUAAACCCUAUCACAGUUCGGAUCGGAGUCUGCAACUCGACUCCG
rnacentral:rRNA from 1 species